rnacentral:rRNA from 1 species
CAAAUGACUCUCGGCAAUGGAUAUCUCGGCUCUUGCAUCGAUGAAGAACGUAGUGAAAUGCGAUACUUGGUGUGAAUUGCAGAAUCUCGUGAACCAUUGAGUCUUUGAACGCAAGUUGUGCCCGAGGCCUUCGGACCAAGGGCACGCCUGCUUGGGCGUCAUGG